rnacentral:lncRNA from 1 species
UUUCCUUUUUAAAAAAAUUAGGUCAUUCUUCCCCCUUUGGUUUCACCAUCUCACCAUCUCACCAGCCUAUCAAGAGUAUUGAUUUCGCUCUCUCGCUCUCACUCUCAGUCUCACUCUCUCUCACUCUCACUCUCACUCUGUCUCCGCAGCCCCAGCUCAAAGUCGUUACAUGGUCCGGUGGUUUAUUCUCUCCACCGCCUCAGCUCUGGUCGGGAUAGAGAAUUGAUUAGUCUACAGGAAAAAGGAGAUUGUGUAGGGGCGGCCGGAAAUAGAUCUUCGUCCACAGCAACAUCCACUCCAUAAUUUCGAUCCGAUUGUUUGGGUAGGAGGCGGCGCUGAAGAAGGAAAACAAACCGGGCUUGAGCAACGAAACCCGAAAUCGAAAUCGAGAAUCACGGUUUUGAGGCAGCGUUGUGUGGAAUUUCUUCAAGUCUCAUGGCCAGGUUGAAUGUUUUGCGCAGCAGAUCUGCUUUGCAAGCCAGGCUUGAAUCUGGGUUCCCCUGAAUACCCUACGUCUUCAUGAGCCAGGAAACACUAGUACUUUGAGGGGUUCAAACUUCAGCCUAAAGGGAGCGAGCAAAUCUUAGGCCUGAACUGCUUGCCAGUGGCACUCUGGCUCUUUUUUUUUCCUUUAAGCCAUUAUUAGAUUGAUUUUUUCUUAUACUUCUGUUAGAUUUCCCAGUUGACACCCAUCGGGCAUCGGUUAGUUUAGAGUUGUGAAAUUGUAUAAACAGCUCAAGGCAACCCAAGGCACAUUUUUACAUAAUUAUGCUGGUCACAAAUUUUUGGGUCGAGUAUGAGUCCAAUUUAGAAUCAGAUUCCUUUGUGUAUGGGUCUUUCACUUUCAGAAUUCAACUCCUG